rnacentral:rRNA from 1 species
AUUGAACGCUGGCGGCAUGCCUUACACAUGCCAGUCGAACGGUAACAGGCCUAGCUGUCCUGACGAGUGGCGAACGGGUGUGUAAUGCAACGUAACGAGCCCAGGGGUGUAAGUGAACGCACGAACAGCUGUUCUAGUACCCCACGUGAUCGUGAAAGGAGAGCGGCGCACCACCCAGCAAUAUUUGACCUCCCGCUUUUAGAUCAGCUGAUGUCAGAUUAGGUAGUUGGUGGGGUAAAGGCUCACCAAGCCGACGAUCUGUAGCUGGUCUGAGAGGACGACCAGCCACACUGGGACUGAGACACGGCCCAGACUCCUACGGGAGGCAGCAGUGGGGAAUUUUGGACAAUGGGCGCAAGCCUGAUCCAGCCAUGCCGCGUGCGGGAAGAAGGCCUUCGGGUUGUAAACCGCUUUUGUAAGGAAAGAAAAGGUUCUGGCUAAUACCUGGGGCUGAUGACGGUACCGGAAGAAUAAGCACCGGCUAACUACGUG